UCUGUGAGCUGAUUCCACCAGUGACUGAGCACAGACCACCACCAUGGAGCUUGGGCUGCGCUGGGUUCUACUUGUUGCUCUGUUGAAAGGUGUGCAGUGUGAGGUGCAGCUGGUGGAGUCUGGGGGAGGCUUGGUGCAGCCUGGGGGGUCCCUGAGACUCUCCUGUGCAGCCUCCGGAUUCACCUUCAGUAGCUAUGGCAUGAGCUGGGUCCGCCAGGCUCCAGGGAAGGGCCUGGAGUGGCUCUCAUCCAUCAGUAGUGGUAGUAGUUACAUAUACUACGCAGACUCUGUGAAAGGCCGCUUCACCACCUCCAGAGACAACAGCAAGAACACACUUUACCUGCAGAUGAACAGCCUGAGAGUGGAGGACACGGCCGUCUAUUCCUGUGUAGGUACCUUUGUUGGGCUUUACUUCCAAGGAGCUGCAGAUACAGUGUGA